rnacentral:rRNA from 1 species
UACGUAGGUGGCAAGCGUUGUCCGGAUUUAUUGGGUUUAAAGGGUGCGUAGGCGGCCUUUUAAGUCAGUGCUGAAAUACUCUAGCUUAACUAGAGGGGUGGCAUUGAUACUGAAAGGCUUGAGUGAAGUCGAAGUAGGCGGAAUUGACGGUGUAGCGGUGAAAUGCUUAGAUAUCGUCAAGAACACCGAUAGUGUAGACAGCUUACUAAGCUUUAACUGACGCUGAGGCACGAAAGUGUGGGGAUCAAACAGG